rnacentral:rRNA from 1 species
GGCUCUUUGGUGUUAGAAAUAAAGAGUCGGACCUGCCCGGUGAAUGUAAUAAACGGUUGCAACGAGAGUUGUACGAAGGUAGCGUGAUAAGUUGUCUUUUAAUUGGAGAAUGGAAUGAAGGGUUUGACGUGAAAUUUCUUUUUUUAUAAAAGGUACUAAAGUUUCCUUCUAAGUGAAAAGGCUUAGGUUUUUGAAAAAGACGAGAAGACCCUGUCGAACUUGAUUAAGAAUUACUGGUUAUAGAUAUUUAAAAGUUUUAUUGGGGCAAUAUUAACUUAAAAAACAGUUAAUUUAUUCAUAGAUCCUUUUUGAAAGAAAGAGGAAAAAGUUACCGCAGGGAUAACAGCGUUAUUU